rnacentral:rRNA from 1 species
GCAUCAUUGUAAAAAUGAUGCAGGAUCGACUAUGUCGAAUAAAAUUCUAGGUAGAAUUAUGAUAAUGACAUUGUCUGCCUAUGUGUCUUGACCAAAUUUCGUGCCAGCAGUCGCGGUAAUACGUAGAAGACUAGUGUUAUUCAUGUUUAAUCGGUUUAAAGGGUACCUAGACGGUAAAUCAAGCCUAAAAUUAAAUGAAGGGACUAAUUUACUAGAGUUACUUAUGAGGGGGUAUUAAAGUACUGCUGGUGUAGAGAUGAAAUUCUGUCAUACCUCUUUUCAAUAGAAAAACAAUGGCACAGGUAUAGGCGAAAGCAUCCCCUUAUGUGAUAACUGACGUUGAGGGACGAAGGCUUUGUGUAGCGAACAGGAUUAGAUACCCCAGUAGUCAAAGCAGAAAAUGAUGAAUGUCAUAGAUUAGAUAAAUAAGUUUAUUCUAUAAAUGAAAGUGUAAGCAUUCCACCUCANGAGUAAUUUGGCAACAUUGGANCUGAAAUCAUUAGACCGUUUCUGAAACCAGUNGNGAAGUAUGUNGUUUAAUUUGANGANCCGCAAAAANCCUNACCNCAAUUNGAANAUUNANANUUUUUUAUNGNUUNCUUUUNAAUUUNCUNCNGAUUNGAUUUUUCUAAAGAAAAAAAGAAAAAGAGGCGAUAUGAUAUAUUUACAGGCGUUGCACGGCUGUCUUCAGUUAAUGUCGCGAGACUUUGGNUAGUUCC